UACGUAGGGGGCAAGCGUUGUCCGGAAUCAUUGGGCGUAAAGAGCGUGUAGGUGGCUCGGUAAGUCCGCUGUGAAAGUCCAGGGCUCAACCCUGGAAAGCCGGUGGAAACUGUCGAGCUCGAGUCCGGAAGAGGCGAGUGGAAUUCCUGGUGUAGCGGUGAAAUGCGCAGAUAUCGGGAAGAACACCCGUGGCGAAGGCGGCUCUCUGGGACGGUACUGACGCUGAGACGCGAAAGCGUGGGUAGCAAACAGG
rnacentral:rRNA from 1 species